UACGAACUGUGCGAACGUUAUUCGGAAUCAUUGGGCUUAAAGGGCGCGUAGGCGGGACGGCGCGUCGGCAGCUGAAAUCCCCCGGCUCAACCGGGGAACAGGCGCCGAUACGGCCGGUCCUGGAGGCGAGGAGGGGGACCCGGAACGUCCGGUGGAGCGGUGAAAUGCGUUGAGAUCGGACGGAACACCGACGGCGAAAGCAGGGUCCUGGACUCGUACUGACGCUGAGGCGCGAAAGCCAGGGGAGCGAACGGG
rnacentral:rRNA from 1 species